GGUGCAGAUGCUCGAACUAGCUU
rnacentral:siRNA from 1 species